rnacentral:rRNA from 1 species
AACGUAGGAGACAAACGUUAUCCGGAGUUACUGGGCGUAAAGGGCGUGUAGGUGGUUACGUAAGUCUGGCGUGAAAUUUCUCGGCUUAACCGAGGCAGGUCGUCGGAUACUGCGAGACUAGAGGACGGUAGAGGCGUGUGGAAUUCCGGGUGUAGUGGUGAAAUGCGUAGAGAUCCGGAGGAACACCAGUGGCGAAGGCGGCAUCCUGGACCGGUAUUGACGCUAAGGCGCGAAAGCGUGGGGAGCGAACAGG